rnacentral:rRNA from 1 species
GAUGAACGCUGGCGGCGUGCCUAAUACAUGCAAGUCGAGCGAACAGAUGAGGAGCUUGCUCCUCUGACGUUAGCGGCGGACGGGUGAGUAACACGUGGAUAACCUACCUAUAAGACUGGGAUAACUUCGGGAAACCGGAGCUAAUACCGGAUAAUAUAUUGAACCGCAUGGUUCAAUAGUGAAAGACGGUUUUGCUGUCACUUAUAGAUGGAUCCGCGCCGCAUUAGCUAGUUGGUAAGGUAACGGCUUACCAAGGCAACGAUGCGUAGCCGACCUGAGAGGGUGAUCGGCCACACUGGAACUGAGACACGGUCCAGACUCCUACGGGAGGCAACAGUAGGGAAUCUUCCGCAAUGGGCGAAAGCCUGACGGAGCAACGCCGCGUGAGUGAUGAAGGUCUUCGGAUCGUAAAACUCUGUUACUAGGGAAGAACAAAUGUGUAAGUAACUAUGCACGUCUUGACGGUACCUAAUCAGAAAGCCACGGCUAACUACGUG